rnacentral:rRNA from 1 species
AUUGAACGCUGGCGGCAGGCCUAACACAUGCAUGUCGAGCGGAGCGGCGGACGGGUGAGCAAUGCCUAGGAAUCUGCCUGGUAGUGGGGGAUAACGCCCGGAAACGGGCGCUAAUACCGCAUACUAUCAGAUGAGCCUAGGUCGGAUUAGCUAGUUGGUGGGGUAAAGGCCUACCAAGGCGACGAGCCGUAACUGGUCUGAGAGGAUAAUCAGUCACGCUAGAACUGAGACACGGUCCAUACUCCUACGUGAGGCAGCGGUGGUGAAGAUUGGGCAAUGGACGAAAGCCUGAUCCAGCCAUGCCGCGUGUGUGAAGAAGGUCUUAAGAUUGUGGAGCACUUUAAGUUGGGAGGCGUUACCAACAGAAUAAGCGCCGGCUAACUCCGUGCCAGCAGCCGCGGUAAUAC